ACGCUCGACACCUACGGGAGGUAGCAGUGGGGAAUAUUGGGCAAUGGGCGCAAGCCUGACCCAGCAACGCCGCGUGAGUGAUGAAGGUCUUCGGAUUGUAAAACUCUUUAAGCAGGGAAGAAGAAAGUGACGGUACCUGCAGAAUAAGCAUCGGCUAACUACGUGCCAGCAGCCGCGGUAAUCUGAGCGGGCUGGCAAGGC
rnacentral:rRNA from 1 species